rnacentral:lncRNA from 1 species
AGGUUAUUGACAUGGGAGAAUACGAGUACAAGUCCACCCAUCACCCUUGGAAGACCAUUCUUUAGCACCGUUAAAGCAAUCAUAUACAUUGGAACCAGAGAAGUCCACAUGCACUUCCCCUCUCAGAAGGUAUGCCACUGUUUUACUGACCCUAACUAUAUAGUUGAAGACUCUAAGUAGGUCAGGACAAGAAGAAGACAAUGCAACCGCAACCAGAGGAGGCAAAUCAUCAAGGACAGAUGGGCAGACUACGCCAUCCAGCAAUCCUAGGACGACUAAGUAAACGGAGAGUCUCAUUCGGAGGACUUAAAAACAACGAACGCCUUGCCAAGAGGUAAACUUGGUAGUUAUCUUUUUCCUUUCAAUUAUUUAAAAUAGUUUGCUUAGUUAAUCAGGUUCAUAUCAUCUUGAAAAGAAAAUAAAAAUGUUAAAAAUAGUAAGCCUCAUGUGAGUAUGCUCAUGGCAUAAAACCCAUAAGUACAUUCACUGUGGUGGCAUAAAAAUAAAAUAAAUAUAUUCAUGUCCUAUAAAAAUAAAAUUAUAAAAAUAAAUUUAUGAUCCUACUAAAGAGAGUAACAUUUAUUGAGGAGGCUCAACAUGAUAAAGGAUAGAUAUUUAUGCUAACACUUAACUAGUUCCACAAAGCUUUGUUGUCUAUUUGAGCUCCACAGAAUUCAAGGAUCAAAGAAGACUAGCAGACGGAGGACAUCCUAAUCGCUGUCAGGAUGCUGCCGACAUUCAAAUACACCUCCGCCACCUGCUACCUACAUCAGAGGAAAUUACGUCAAAAUCCAGCUUGGGGGAGAGCACCUCCAUUUAUCCAGCUAAGUGUUCUACUCAUGUUUAUACUUUACUCAAAUAAUAAAAAGAUGCAUAAUCAUAAAAACCCAAAUAAAGAUUUUGUGAUUAUAUAUAUCUUUGUUUAGUUUGCUAAAUAAAUAAAUAAAUAAAGUUUUCUAUGAACCCUCAUGAUAAGCUCUCACAUGGAAAUGAUGAAUAGUUGCUCUGCCAUGACUAAUUCUCAAAAUUGAAAUCUCUCUCAAGUUUAGGCAUGACUGUUAUUAAUUAAGAUUUGCUCUAAACCUAAACAUUUGGGAAGAGUACUUGAUCUGAAGUCUAAGUCGUUAACAGAUAUGAUAUGGGAAGGUUGAGCUGUUGUUUAUCUGUUCCUAGAGAUGCUAGAAUUCUGGAGAAUUUUAACUUUGAAAAUCUUUAAAAUGUUGCAUGAUGAGUUCCUGUAUGAUGAGAGUUUAAAUUCCUACCACAGCCAUAUAUACAUGCUUGUUAGACUAUGAACCAUACAUUUACUUUUUACUCCUUAUGGGCAUUGAGUGUGGUCAAGCUGUGUAGACCCUUAGGAGCUUGUCAUGUGGUUAAAUCAAGAUUCACUUGCACGUUCACUCAUACAUGCUGCUUCUACUCCGGAAGUACGCAUCCACAUAUAUCCACCCAUUUCCAUCUCCAGAAUCACCUAAAAAUAUUCUACUCCUAAUCCGGGAGAGAAUAGCCAAAAACAUUUAUGUUUUCCCCUGUGAAAUAAAUGCUCAAGUUAUCUUGGUUACUGCCACUUGCUACAUUAUUUCAAGAGAUGAGUGCUCUAAAAAAAGAAGAAAAAAAAAGAUACGAGGAAAUAAAAAGGCACAAGUGCCCGAAACCUCGAAAGAAAAGAAAAAGUGAGCCGAGAGGUAAAAAUGGACAAAUGUCCGACAGUAGAAUUAGGGGUACAAGAUACCCACCUGAGAGAAAAGAAAAAGAAAAUAUAGAGCAUCUCAUUCUCUCCAAAAGUUUCAAAAGAGCAAGGAAGGUAUGUAUCCCCUCAAAAGAGCACAAGUAGAAUUAGACUUUCACCAUUGUUAUCACCAUCAUCACCAUUGUUAUCACCAUUCAUUCGCCACACAUCCACAUCUUGAUUUGACUUAUUGACUUGUUCUUCUGGAUCCAUGGUUUGACUAUGCAAUAAAUGUCUUGUAAGUAUGUAUUAGCUGUCUCCCACCUAUGAGCUCCAGAUAUCAAAACCUUAUUAGAGUAGGGUGAGAGAGAAGGAAAUGCCAGUAUGCCUUAUACCAAAAAUACCACAUGCUUUGAGAGAAGGCAUACACCAUUACUGCCUUGGUAAGGAUCCAGAACUACCACAAAAGAGAUACUAGAGAGAGUCAUACAAGGAAUCUCUGAGUUUUAUUUGAAAAUCUGCAAAAACCCCAGAGCUAUAGCUGACCAAGAAUAAGAGACAUGGCGCUUGACUAGACCGUAAUAUCUUUUAACUGCUCAAGACACAAGCCCCAUGGUGGAAGGUAAUAUGAGUAAGUUUAAAUCUAAACAGUUUACCCUAACCCAGAGAUGAGAUCUUGUUUGAACGCAUGUAUAUCUUUAAGGCAUGAAACCACUACAGAAACUCUUGAGUCCAUCUUUGCUCAGGGACGAGCAAAGGUUAAGCUUGGGGGAGCUUGUGGACGGUCCUUAAAGCUCACAUUUAACUGUCAACUAAUCAUAGAAAAGGAUCCAAAUGCAACCAACACCUAGACUUAGGGUUUUAUCCGACAGAAUUCCAUGAGUUUUGGUGUUUGUCUAUUUCUGCAGGGGGUUAUCGGGAAAUACGGAAGAAAGUUCCACACGUUGGGUUUACAUAGAGAUAUUAGUGUGCCGCGCAAUUUUCUAUCAUCUAGAAGACUCCAGAAGCCACGGGACCGAAGUGGAGGCCGAGAGGGCUCAGGGACAGGGCGCCCGCCCUGGAGUUCUGCCCAAUCACGUCCAAACUCGCGGAUCGUGGUCCACCGACCUAAGGGAUCAAGGAUAACCGUUCAAUCAAUGUCGGUUUGAUCCAACGACCCAUAUUCACUUGAAGGGACUAUAAAACCAGACCCCCUGGCAACUGGAGAUCAUACCUCUUCUACAGAAUCUAAGCUAGGGUUUCAAUUCUUCAUCCAAGUAGAGAGGAUCCCUCUAGUUCUUCUAGUUCUACCUCUAGUUCAUCUAGAUCUAGUUCUAGUUCAUCUAGUUCUAGUUCUAGUUCCUCUAGUUCUAGUUCUAGUUAGUUCUAAUUGUAAUCGAGAAAAUAGGGAGAGAGAAGAGAAGAGCGGAGGAGGAGCCGGAUCUGUCGGAUCUUCCUCAACAUUAUACUUUUGCAGCAUCUGGUUCGUUCUUCAUCGUUCUCCAGGUUCUUCAAUUCAUAAUUCUUGAGUUCUUUAAUUACUUUUAUUUACAUUCAAGUUAUUUAUUGGAUUCCCGAGUGCAUCAAGUGCUUUAGUCUUUAUAACGCUAGAGUAGUAAUUAAUAGAUUAGACGUGGUGUUUGUCUUGUAAUUACCUGAAAUUGCACCCAAUCCUGCGGAUUGUUGUGGUAGCCUUAGGGUAGUGACAGCCCUAACGAUCGACGUAUUCCACCUCGUUCGGAUCGGUGUUUGUAGGACCGUAGUCGGAGCUUCCUAGCCCCCUUCUCAUCUCUUUCUGUGGUUAGUGUUCUGAUGUCCCGAAAUAGAUAAUCUUGAAGUAAUUCUUGAUUCUUAGAUCAACUAGAGAACUCUCAGGAAACUUCCUCUCUUCCCACAAAAAAUAAUUAUAUAGUUAUCCUUGGCCAAUCUUGGAUCUUAAUUAGUACACUCACGUUCUCGGUGGAAAAUCGAUACUCUGGAAUACUCCCGGGUGAAGGCUACAUCGGUAUCCGUGCGCUUGCGGAUUUUUCUGUUUGCGUUUAAAAUACCCAACAAUAACCAAGUGGGAACCCUUUAUCCCAUCUAGAGUCAAACUUCCCAAGUCUAGUGCCUGUUGACGGUCCUUAAUGCUCACAUUUAACCAUCAAAUAAUUAUAGAAAAGGAUCCAAAUGCAACCAACACCUAGACUUAGGGUUUUAUCUGACAGAAUUCGACAAGUUUUGGUGUUUGUCUAUUUCUGCAGGGGGUUAUCAGAAAAUACGGAAGAAAGGCCCACACGUCGGGUUUACAUAGAGAUAUUAACGUGCCGCGCAAUUUUCUAUCAUCUAGAAGACUCCAGAAGCCACGGGACCGAAGCGGAAGCCGAGAGGCCUCAGGGACAGGGCGCCCGCCCUAAUCCUGAGGGCGCCCGCCCACCUCUUUCCACCAAUCAGGGUGAAGUUCGGGGAUCAUGCUCCACCGACCUAAUACUUCGAGGAAAACCACACGAUCAAUGUCGGUUUGAUCCGACGGCCCAGAUUCAUUUGAAGAGACUAUAAAACCAGACCCCCCUGGCCCCUGGAGAUCAUACCUCUUCUACAGAAUCAAAGCUAGGGUUUCAAUUCUUCAUCCAAGUAGAGAGGAUCCCUCUAGUUCUUCUAGUUCUACCUCUAGUUCAUCUAGAUCUAGUUCUAGUUCAUCUAGUUCUAGUUCUAGUUCAUCUAGUUCUAGUUCUAGUUAGUUCUAGUUGUAAUCUAGAAAAUAGGGAGAGAGAAGAGAGCGGAGGAGGAGCCGGAUCUGUCGGAUCUUCCUCAACAUUAUACUUUUGCAGCAUCUGGUUCGUUCUUCAUCGUUCUCCAGGUUCUUCAAUUCAUAAUUCCUGAGUUCUCUAAUUACUUUUAUUUACAUUCAAGUUAUUUAUUGGAUUCCCACUUGCAUCAAGUGCUCUAGUCUUUAUAACGCUAGAGUAGUAAUUAAUAGAUUAGACGUGGUGUUUAGUCUUGCGAUUACCUGGAAUUGCACCCAAUCCUAUGGAUUGUUGUGGUAGCCCUAGGGUAGUGACAUCCCUAACGGUCGACGUAUUCCACCACGUUCGGAUCGGUGUUUGUAGGACCGUAGUCAGACCUUCCUAGCCCUCUUCUCAUCUCUUUCCAUGGUUAGUGCUCUGAUGUCCCGAUAUAGAUAAUCUUGAAGUAAUUCUUGAUUCUUAGAUCAAAUAGAGAACUCUCAGGAAACUUCCUCUCUUCCCACCAAAAAUAAUUAUAUAGUUAUCCUUGGGUGAUCUUGGAUCUUAAUUAGUACACUCACGUUCUCUUUGGAAAAUAGAUACUCUGGAAUACUCCCGGGUGAAAGCUACAUCGGUAUCCGUGCGCUUGCGGAUUUUUCUGUUUGCGUUUCAAAUACCCAACAAGCUUUCUGGCGCCGUUGCCGGGGAACGGUAGCUGUGCUAGUUUCGAACCAAGUCGUUCGUGUAUCCUUUUUCUUUUCUUUUUUUACCACACUCACCUUAUCAUUUUCACCACACCACAUGGAUUUCACUCUAAGCAUUAAUGAGCAGGGAAUUUAUUUCAUAGCCACUUCAUUUACUCCAUGCUCAUAUGCAACAUCUUCACAAUCCAUUGGUCUCUCCAACAUCACCACAUUCGAGAUCUCCAACCCCCACUUCCUUUCUAUUUAUAAAAACUUUAAAAGGGCGGUUGUCGAUGCAUAUGUCUAUAAUAAAUUUUGCAGAUCUCGUUGAGUUGAUCUUGAUAUAGGUCAGCGUUGGACGGGAAACCACUUCGCUGACAUAAAUUGAUGGUUUCCCAAGGACAAGCUUAGUGUCCUAAAACAAGCACUGAUCAGAUCGUAACAUGUGCUUUUAAUUAUUUGCAACACUACCUUGUGUAUUGAGCAUAUAAGGAUAAUUGUAAAAAUAGUCCUUCGGGUAUUCUUGUCGCUAACCUUUCCAGGAUUGGAGCAAGAAGAUCGGAUGAAUGACAAGUACAAGGUAUGUCCAACCAAUCAUCAUACAACAUUGAAUUAAAUUCAUCCAGACUUGAAUUUUGCAAAAUUCAAGCUUGGGGGAGUGCUUUAUAUAAAAACAUCAUUUGCCAUGUUGCUAUGUUGGUUGUCCCUACCUUUGAGACAUGCUCAAUUUGUUAAAUAGUAAUCACACUACUUCAUCUCCACUUGAGUAGAUCUCUAUAAAAGCCAUCACGCUACAUUUGUUUAUCCUAGUAAGUGUUAGUUUGGAAGUACUGUACAUACUUCUAUUGGUUUUAAAAUUAAGCAUGGUGCUUAGGUUAAACAGCCUUUCUUAAUCUAAUUAGACAUAGAGUCUAGUUUGGUUAUUGAACUAAAAACUGCUUGUGUAGACAUUGGUAUAUUUUGUUGGACUAACCCCUGCAGGGAAACUUUCAAUAUCGACCUGGGAAGUCCUGAGAUAAACUCACAUUGGAGACAAAGAGAGACACACAUGAAGUUUAACAAUUUACACAAGGAAGGCAUAGCUCACAAGAAAUGAUCCAUGGAGGUGCCACAAACACGAUGCACAACCACUAAGAAAGGAAAGCUUCCACAAGGUGAUACUGUACCAUCACUCUUCAAUUAAGGUAACAUCUUAAUGUACUUGACUAUCACUUUUAUAAGCUUCUCCUUAUUUCUGGCGUUCACAUGAAUAAAAAAGACAAACAUGUAUGAUUUACAACUCUAGAUUAACCAACCCAAUCAAUUCAACAUGUUUAGUCCUUCCACCUUUGUGAUCCCAAAAUCCUAAUCAUAUGAGCUAAAAUAUUGCACACUCAAUCUUUGGAAGAUAUAUAUAAAAACAUAAGUAUAGAUAGAUUAUCUUUCCAUUAGGUUGAGCGAUCUGAUCUGACUAAUGUUUUAAAUGCUACACUCAUGAUCUUAUUAUCCAUUAACUUUGUCUUGCUCACUAUGCUUAAGGUUAGAGAAGAACAAAUACACUUUUGGUUCUAUUGGUGUUUUCCACCAACAGGGCCCAUGCACUUGAUCUCUACCUUGUCUCUAUGAGCAGGUACACUUCGAACAAAAUAUGAAGGAGUUUUACAACUCCCAGACUCCACCAAGUGAAGAACCUAGAUCUUGGAGCACAAACACACUGGAGAUACUAGACACUCAGGCAAUCACUGCCCUGAGAUGCUUGAGGAUGUAACUACUGGAGUAACCCCGUAGUGGAAGUAAUUACUGACCUUCUGCCGGUCAAGAGAGACAAUCCAGGACGCCCCGUCAUCCCGAUCUCCAUCGGCAUGGUGGACUUCCUAGAAGCACUCUGCAACUUUGGCUCCAGCGUCAACAUUAUGCUCAGGGUACUCUAUGAAAAAUUCUUUACACAUCCUUUCCUAGAAACAACCAUGUGUUUGCAGCUUGCAGAUCAGACACUAAGUUUCCCAAAGGGAAUAUUGAAGAACCUCUACGUCCGAGUUGGUACCUUAUACGCUCCAGCAGACUUCGUGGUGAUAGAGACUGAUACUCAUGAGAGGGCACCCAUCAUCCUAGGGAGGCCAUUCCUGAACACCUCGGGAGCCGUCAUCUACGCUAGUGCUGCCAAGAUCAGUUUCUACAUCAAAGGAAAGGACGAAGACGUUUUCCUUCAAGAACAAGACUACACAAAUCUUAGAGCAAUCCUGACAUGAACCAAGGAAAGGACCAACAGGAGGAACAAGAACAAGCAAAUGUGGACCAAGUCAGCUAAGAUGGUCACUGCAGCUCAAGGAGGUCAAGAUCGUCAACUCAAGUCGCCUUUCUUGAUCAAGAAGGACGACCCUGGUGUUCCAAGCAUCGAGUGCACAAUCAACGGAUAUUCUUUUCAGAAGACACUCUACGACACCGGAUCUAACGUCAACAUAAUGGCCGCAGUCACUUAUCAGCUCCUGCAUGGAACCAUGUCCCUACAACCAACAUACAUUCAGCUUCAGAUGGCAGAUCAGAUAUUCCGAAAGGUUUUCAGGUUAUUGACAUGGGAGAAGAUGAGUACAAUCCACCCAUCAUCCUUGGAAGACCGUUCCUCAGCACUGUUAAAGCAAUCAUCUAGAUUGGAACCAGAGAAGUCCACAUGCAUUUCCUCUCUAACAAGGUACGCCGCUAUUUUAACCUUAAUUAUAUAGUUGAAGACUCUAAGCAGGUCAGAACAAGAAGAAGACGACGCAACCGUAACCAGAGAAGGCAAAAUCAUCAAGGACGGAUGGGCAGACUAUGAAGGAGAAGUAGAAAGGUCUGAAGACAUACAGCUUGAUCAGAACUGUCCUGAGGAGACCGUAGCACCGAGUCAGGUGUGGAGAGAGAAGAUAGUUAUACAUGAAGAGGAGGCGCCGCUAGAACCACCGACUACGCCAUCCAGCGAAUCCCAGGACGACUGAGAAAACGGAGGGUCCCGUUCGGAGGACUUAAAAACACCGAACGCCUUGCCAAGAGGUAAACUUGGUAGUUAUCCUUUUCCUUUCAAUUAUUUAAAGUAGUUUGCUUAGUUAACCAGGUUCAUACUAUCUUGAAAAGAAAAUAAAAAUAUUAAAAAUAGUAAGCCCCACGUGAGUAUGCUCAUGGCAUAAAACACAUAAGUACAUUCACCGUGGUGGCGUAAAAAUGAAAUAAAUAUAUUCCUAUCCUAUAAAAACAAAAUUAUAAAAAUAAAAUUAUGAUCCUACUAAAGAGAGUAAUAUUUAUUAGAGGAGGCUCAACAUGAUAAAGGCUAGAUAUUUAUGCUAACACUUAACUAGUUCCACAAAGCUUUGUUGUCUAUUUGAGCUCCACAGAAUUCAAGGAUCAAAGAAGACUAGCAUACGAAGGACAUCCUAAUCGCCGUUAGGGUACUGCCGACAUUCAAAUACACCUCCACCACUUGCUAGCUACAUCAAAAGGAAUUACGUCAAAAUCCAGCUUGGGGGAGAGCACCCCCAUUUAUCCAGCUAAGUAUUCUACUCAUGUUUAUACCUUACUCAAAUAAUAAAAAGAUGCAUAAUCAUAUAAACCCAAAUAAAGAUUUUGUGCUUAUAUAUAUCUUUGCUUAGUUUGCUAAAUAAAUAAAUAAAUAAAAUUUGCUAUGAACCCUUGUGAUAAGCUCUCAUAUGGAAAUGAUGAAUAGUUGCUCUACCAUGACUAGUUCUCAAAAUUGAAAUCUCUCUCUCAAGUUUAGACAUCACUGUUAUUAAUUAAGAUUUGCUCUAAACCUGAACUUGUGGGGAGAGUACUUGAUCUAAAGUCUAAGUCGUUAACGGAUACGAUAUGGGAAGGUUGAGCUGCUGUUUAUCUGUUCCUAGAGAUACUAGAAUUCUGGAGAAUUUUAUCUUUGAAAAUCUUUAAAAUGUUGCAUGAUGAGUUCCUGUAUGAUGAGAGUUUAAAUUCCUACCACAGCCAUAUAUACAUGCUUGCUAGACUAUGAACUACUUAUGAGCAUUGAGUGUGGUCAAGCUGUGUAGACCCUUAGGAGCUUGUCAUGUGGUUAAAAUCAAGAUUCACUUGCACGUUCACUCAUACAUGCUGCUUCUACUCCGGAAGUACGCAUCCACAUAUAUCCAUCCAUUUCCAUCUCCAGAACCACCCAAAAAUAUUCUACUCCUAAUUCGGGAGAGAAUCGCCAAAAAUAUUUCUAUUUUCCCCUAUGAAAUAAAUGCUCAAGUUAUCUUGUUACUACCACUUGCUAUAUUAUCUCAUGAGAUGAGUGCUCUAAUAAAAAAAGAGAAAAAAAAGAGAUACGAGGAAAUAAAAAGGGGCAAGUGCCCGGAACCUCGAAAAAAAAAGAAAAAAGUGAGACGAGAGGUAAAAAUGGACAAGUGUCCGACAGUAGAAUUAGGGGUACAAGAUACCCACCUAAGAGAAAAGAAAAAAAAAGAAAAUAUAGAGCAUCUCAUUCUCCUCAAAAAGUUUCAAAACAGCAAGAAAGGUAUGUAUCCCCUCAAAAGAGCAUAAGUAGAAUUAGACUUCCACCAUUGUUAUCACCAUCAUCGCCAUACACCAUUCAUUCGCCACACAUGCACAUCUUGAUUUGACUUAUUGACUUGUUCUUCUGGAUCCAUGGUUUGACUAUGCAAUAAAUGUCUUGUAAGUAUGUAUUAGCUGUCUCCCAUCUAUGUACUCCAGAUAUCAAAAGCCUUAUUAGAGUAGGGUGAGAGAGAAGGCAAUGCCACUAUGCCUUAUACCACAAAUACCACAUACUUUGAGAGAAGGCAUACACCAUUAAUGCCUUGGUAAGGAUCCAGAAAUACCACAAAAGAGAGACUAGAGAGAGUCAUACAAGGAAUCUCUGAGUUUUAUUUGAAAAUCGGCAAAAACUCCAGAGCUAUAGCUGAUCAAGAAUAAGAGACAUGGUGCUUGACUAGACCGUUCUAUCUUUUAACUACUCAAGACAGAAGUGACGGUUACAAGUCCCAUGGUGAAAGGUAAAUGAGUAAGUUUUAAGUCUUAACAGUUUACUCUAACUAGAGAUGAGAUCUUGUGUAAACGCAUGUGUAUCUUUAAGUUAUGAAACCACUGCAGAAACUCUUCAGUUCAUCUUUGCUCAGGGACGAGCAAAGGUUAAGCUUGGGGGAGCUUGUUGACGGUCCUUAAUGCUCACAUUUAACCAUCAAAUAAUCAUAGAAAAGGAUCCAAAUGCAACCAACACCUAGACUUAGGGUUUUAUCUGAUAGAAUUCCACAAGUUUUGGUGUUUGUCUAUUUCUGCAGGGGGUUAUCAGAAAAUACAGAAGAAAGGCCCACACGUCGGGUUUACAUAGAGAUAUUAACGUGCCGCGUAAUUUUCCAUCAUCUAGAAGACUCCAGAAGCCACGGGACCGAAGCGGAAGCCGAGAGGCCUCAGGGACAGGGUGCCCGCCCACCACUUUCCACCAAUCAGGGUGAAGUUCGGGGAUCAUGCUCCACCGACCUAAUACUUCAAGGAAAACCACAUGAUCAAUGUCGGUUUGAUCUGACGGCCCAAAUUCAUUUGAAGGGACUAUAAAACCAGACCCCCCUGGCCCUUGGAGAUCAUACCUCUUCUACAGAAUCAAAGCUAGGGUUUCAAUUCUUCAUCCAAGUAGAGAGGAUCCCUCUAGUUCUUCUAGUUCUACCUCUAGUUCAUCUAUAUCUAGUUCUAGUUCAUCUAGUUCUAGUUCUAGUUCAUCUAGUUCUAGUUCUAGUUAGUUCUAGUUGUAAUCUAGAAAAUAGGGAGAGAGAAGAGGAGAGCGGAGGAGGAGCCGGAUCUGUCGGAUCUUCCUCAACAUUAUACUUUUGCAGCAUCUGGUUCGUUCUUCAUCGUUCUCCAGGUUCUUCAAUUCAUAAUUCCUGAGUUCUGUAAUUACUUUUAUUUACAUUCAAGUUAUUUAUUGGAUUCCCGCUUGCAUCAAGUGCUCUAGUCUUUAUAACGCUAGAGUAGUAAUUAAUAGAUUAGACGUGGUGUUUAGUCUUGCGAUUACCUGGAAUUGCACCCAAUCCUACGGAUUGUUGUGGUAGCCCUAGGGUAGUGACAGCCCUAACGGUCGACGUAUUCCACCACGUUCGGAUCGGUGUUUGUAGGACCGUAGUCAGACCUUCCUAGCCCCCUUCUCAUCUCUUUCCGUGGUUAGUGCUCUGAUGUCCCGAUAUAGAUAAUCUUGAAGUAAUUCUUGAUUCUUAGAUCAAAUAGAGAACUCUCAGGAAACUUCCUCUCUUCCCAACAAAAAUAAUUAUAUAGUUAUCCUUGGGUGAUCUUGGAUCUUAAUUAGUACACUCACGUUCUCUUGGAAAAUUGAUACUCUGGAAUACUCCCGGGUGAAAGCUACAUCGGUAUCCGUGCGCUUGCGGAUUUUUCUGUUUGCGUUUAAAAUACCCAACAGUGCCCUUCUUCAAAAUAUAGCAUUUAAAACCAAACACUCUAAAGAAUGAGAUAUUGGGCUUUCGUC